rnacentral:miRNA from 1 species
CUGCGGCGCGGGCCGGGCUGGGCUGGGCGGCCGCCAGCAUGCAGCCGUGCUUACAUAAGCGCUGCUUUUUCCUGGAAUCCGGCACUGCU